rnacentral:rRNA from 1 species
ACACUGAACAUUGAGCCUUGAUGUGUAGGAUAGGUGGGAGGCUUUGAAGUGUGGACGCCAGUCUGCAUGGAGCCGACCUUGAAAUACCACCCUUUAAUGUUUGAUGUUCUAACGUUGACCCGUGAUCCGGGUUGCGGACAGUGUCUGGUGGGUAGUUUGACUGGGGCGGUCUCCUCCUAAAGAGUAACGGAGGAGCACGAAGGUUGGCUAAUCCUGGUCGGACAUCAGGAGGUUAGUGCAAUGGCAUAAGCCAGCUUGACUGCGAGCGUGACGGCGCGAGCAGGUGCGAAAGCAGGUCAUAGUGAUCCGGUGGUUCUGAAUGGAAGGGCCAUCGCUCAACGGAUAAAAGGUACUCCGGGGAUAACAGGCUGAUACCGCCCAAGAGUUCAUAUCGACGGCGGUGUUUGGCACCUCGAUGUCGGCUCAUCACAUCCUGGGGCUGAAGUAGGUCCCAAGGGUAUGGCUGUUCGCCAUUUAAAGUGGUACGCGAGCUGGGUUUAGAACGUCGUGAGACAGUUCGGUCCCUAUCUGCCGUGGGCGCUGGAGAACUGAGGGGGGCUGCUCCUAGUACGAGAGGACCGGAGUGGACGCAUCACUGGUGUUCGGGUUGUCAUGCCAAUGGCACUGCCCGGUAGCUAAAUGCGGAAGAGAUAAGUGCUGAAAGCAUCUAAGCACGAAACUUGCCCCGAGAUGAGUUCUCCCUGACUCCUUGAGAGUCCUGAAGGAACGUUGAAGACGACGACGUUGAUAGGCCGGGUGUGUAAGCGCAGCGAUGCGUUGAGCUAACCGGUACUAAUGAACCGUGAGG